AUUCUUCCAGCUGCUGCGCGGACGCGCACGCGGCGUGCAAGCUCUUCAUCAACAGUUUGCACGAGCGUCAUAUGCUCAACCAACUAGUGAAAACCUCAGGGGCUUUGACAGAGACGACCACCGUGUUUAGAUAGAGCGCUUCUUCUCUCAGUGCGCUUAUUCAGUGUCGACUGUCUCGUGAGUUGCAGCAGCAGAGGGUCGAGCUGAAGAGUUUCACAGAGAAAAAAAGAAAAUUUGCAAGCAGCACUGUGGCUUUCCAAGUAAAGUUCUGUGAUACACUCCGACUCUAAUUGUUUGCAGUCAGUGCAUUACAGAACUUUGUUUUGGGAGUUUAAAUCUCAAGCCUGGAGUCAGUCCAUCUGGAUGAAGCUGUAACGCCCCUUGAAAACAGCAGUAAACUCCACAUCCUGUCCCUCAAAAACAUGCCCAAAUAAAUCACAUCGUUAUCAUCA